CAUCGCGAGGUGGAAUCUGAAGGAAGCUGGAUUGCGGAGGCAGGGGGGAAGCAGGACAGAACUCCGGUCCGAUGAACAGAGACCAUGUAAGGCUGUAAGCGGGGGAAGGGCUGCCAUACAGACAAAAGCCCAAUGGCUGCACGGAAUCGCCCGCAGGAGAUAUGGCAGGUAUAAGGGAAAGAAC
rnacentral:ncRNA from 1 species